UACAGAGGGUGCAAGCGUUAAUCGGAAUUACUGGGCGUAAAGCGUGCGUAGACGGUUAUGUAAGUUAGGUGUGAAAGCCCCGGGCUCAACCUGGGAAUUGCAUUUAAGACUGCAUAGCUAGGGUGCGGAAGAGGGAAGCGGAAUUUCCGGUGUAGCGGUGAAAUGCGUAGAUAUCGGAAGGAACACCAGUGGCGAAAGCGGCUUCCUGGGCCAGCACCGACGUUCAGGCACGAAAGCGUGGGGAGCAAACAGG
rnacentral:rRNA from 1 species